rfam:Oryza glaberrima chromosome 7 Oglab07_0042_6, whole genome shotgun sequence.
UUUAAGUGCAACCAUCAGUUUUCGUGUCCAACUUUGAUUCUUCAUCUUCUUUAAUUUUUUUUAUAAUUAGUAUUUUUGUUGUUAUGAAAUGAUAAAACAUGAAUAGUACUUUAUGCAUGAGUUGUUUUUUUAAAUUUUUUUAAAAAACUCAAAUAAGACAAACUAUUAAAGUUGGGCACGAAAAAUAAUGGCUGCACUUAAA